rnacentral:lncRNA from 1 species
CGGGAUUUUUCCUUGCUUUCUCGUGUGCGCAGGCUUUGUUCUCGGGUCGACCUCUCACCUGUGAGUCGACCUCUCACCUGUGCCUCUUGUGCGCGGGAUCUGUUCUCUGGCCUGUGUCUUCUCUUGUGCGCGUGUUCUGUUCUCUGGCCGAUCUCUCGGCUGUGCCUUGUGCGCGGGUUCUGUUCUCUGGCCGAUCUCUCGGCUGUGCCUCGUGUGCAGGUAUUUUCUGGCUUCUUUCUGUUGGCCUUCGGGUGGUGAUCUACCUGUCUUCUUCUUCUCGGUUUCACAGAUACUUUGUGCUGCUACGGCUGGUAAGGAGGUAUCAUCUUGAUUUUUUGCCGAGAUUUGAGGAAGGUAUCUUCAUCAG